GUCCUUUCUCCAAAGGUGUUGUCCCUCUAGCUCUCAGUUGGGGUUCUAAUUACUCCAUUAUUAUCCCCGGGUCACCCUGGACUAGCCAGUCAACAAAUUAAACGUACUUGUCUUGAAGGUAAAACUGCUCUUGGUACAGUUUAGGUGUCCCUCUUUACAGUGUUGAGUGUCUGAUAAAAUUGCUCCAUAAGAAAUGAAGAAUUAUUAAACCAAAUUUCGUUGGACAGGUAAAUUCACAAACACAAUUUUUGGUUGAAUUUGAACAAAGUCCUAUGUAGUUAGUCAUGAGGCAGAAAUCUCCUUGUCCCCGUUCCCCUAUCCCUGACAGUGUUCCUAUUUACAAAAUGUCCUAAAUUAUGCUGUAAUUUUUUCCCCCAGCAGCUUCUGAACUGUUUCAUCAGUGGUUAGUGGAUAAUUCCUCCAAAGGCUGGAAAUGAACUUCUCUGUGUCCUAGCAAUAGCCUGCUUUUUUUUGAAGGACUGCAAUUACAAAUACGAUGAUGGAAUGUCUCACAAAGUCUUGAAAAAGAGAAGUGGCCACUUUAUAGCAAUUGGUUCAAAGCCGUUGACACGAACCAGAAGAUUACACGUUACGAGCAAAGCAAAGAACUCUUGAAAUAAAAUGUCUUAAAAAUCAUAGCUCGUGUUAGCUUGAGAACAAUUAACAAGUCAGCUCGUCGCAAAAAAAGCUCGAAGGAAAAACCAAGUCUUUUGGUUGGACAAGUCGGAAGAAACUAAGUCUCUUGCCGGCAAAGUUUUGUGCUUUGGAACGGGACGAAAAAAAGUCGAAAAGGAAACUAAGUCUUUUGGCGAGAAAAUUCUCCCUAGGAAAAAAGUCUGAACUUUUGAGUGGUGUCUGGUUUUGAGUCAAAAAUAUACCAAGUCUUUUGGCGGGAAAAAUAUUGCACUUUGCAAAUGGUUUUUCCCAUCAAAAGUCCAACUAUAUGUUUGAUUUCUGACUAGACCCUGUUCAAACGUGCAGAAUUUUUUUUCCUCGCGGCAACCCUACGUAGUCAAAAAAGAGUAAAAGAGAUAGCCUACAUUUUCACUAGU